AUUGACGGGUUCUUUGUAGCUCA
rnacentral:siRNA from 1 species